AGAUGUGGCUCAGUGAUAGAGCACUUGCCUAGCAUGUACAAGACCCUGGGUUCAAACCCCAGCACUG
rnacentral:tRNA from 1 species